CGUAACACGUAUGUAACCUACCUUGUUCAGGGGGAUAGCCUCUCGAAAGAGAGAUUAAGACCGCAUAACAUUAUUGAAUAGCAUUAUUUAAUAAUCAAAUAUUUAUAGGAACAAGAUGGGCAUGCGGGACAUUAGCUAGUUGGCGGGGUAACGGCCCACCAAGGCGACGAUGUCUAGGGGAUCUGAGAGGAUGACCCCCCACACUGGUACUGAGACACGGACCAG
rnacentral:rRNA from 1 species